CCUACGGGGGGCAGCAAUGGGGAAUAUUGGACAAUGGGGGCAACCCUGAUCCAGCCAUGCCGCGUGUGUGAAGAAGGCCCUCGGGUUGUAAAGCACUUUCAGUGAGGAAGAACGCCUGGUGGUUAAUACCCAUCAGGAAAGACAUCACUCACAGAAGAAGCACCGGCUAACUCCGUGCCAGCAGCCGCGGUAAUACGGAGGGUGCGAGCGUUAAUCGGAAUUACUGGGCGUAAAGCGCGCGUAGGUGGCUUGAUAAGCCGGUUGUGAAAGCCCCGGGCUCAACCUGGGAACGGCAUCCGGAACUGUCAAGCUAGAGUGCAGGAGAGGAAGGUAGAAUUCCCGGUGUAGCGGUGAAAUGCGUAGAGAUCGGGAGGAAUACCAGUGGCGAAGGCGGCCUUCUGGACUGACACUGACACUGAGGUGCGAAAGCGUGGGUAGCAAACAGGAUUAGAUACCCUGGUAGUC
rnacentral:rRNA from 1 species